rnacentral:tRNA from 8 species
AAGGAAGUGGCAGAGUGGCUAUGUGACUGGCUUGAAACCAGUAAAUGGGGGUUCAAUUCCUCCCUUCCUCG